rnacentral:rRNA from 1 species
AACAACUAGCACAACCAUAGAGAGCAGGCUCCAAACAGGGUAGAGAAGCCACGCGGAAGUUUCGUUCCGGGGAGUCAAAGCCAAGCCACGCUUCUCUCACACGCACGCACGCACAGCGCAGGCAGCGCUCUUCCUCCCUCCCUCCCUCCCCAUCGGCGCGGCGGGGCUGGCCUUUUCUCUCUCCUCCCUCCCCCUCACACGCUUUGCCUUUGCCCACGAAAAGGACAACCAACCCGGAGCGACGCAGCCAGGCAGGGGUGAAGAGAAGAGAAGAGAGGAGAAGGAGAAAAAAAAAGGCGUGAGUCCCCCCUCCCUCCCCCUUUUGCUCCAGUCGCCGCCGAGAUCCGCCCCGCGCCCGCCCCCGCCGCCGCCCUGCGCCGAGAUAGGCAUCAUUCCAGCAUCGGGUUCUACGGAGGAGGUGCCGGUUUGGACAUCUGAUCCAUUUGGAGGGUAUUGACCGCUUCAGAGCCAGAGCUCCUCUGGCCUGUGGGCGGCUGCUGGAUUGGUCAAUAUAAUACGCUCUCUGGUCUUAGAGAUGAUGCCAUUGUGAGCACAAGAUGGAUUCCGCGAGAAGUUGGUUCCAGAAGUUCCAGCCGCGGGACAAGUCCAAGAGCCCGGCGGUGCCUGCCAGCCAUGGGAAGGAUCCUGGGAAGCCCCCAGUCGACGACGCGCCUUCUAGCGCGACCAAGCAGAAGGUCGCCGCGGCAAAACAGUACAUUGAGAACCACUACAAGACUCAGAUGAAGUCCUUGCAAGAUAGGAAAGAGAGGCGCUGGAUGCUGGAGAGGAAAUUACAGGAUGCUGAAGUUCCUGCAGAAGAGCAGAACAACAUUCUAAAACAUUUGGAGAAAAAGGAGACUGAAUAUAUGCGUUUGCAAAGACACAAGAUGGGGGUUGAAGAUUUUGAACUUUUGACAAUUAUUGGAAGAGGUGCAUUUGGAGAGGUGCGUCUUUGUAGAGAGAAGACCUCUAAAAGUGUAUAUGCAAUGAAAAAGCUUAAGAAAUCUGAAAUGCUUCGUAGGGGCCAGGUGGAACACGUCAAAGCCGAAAGAAACCUUCUUGCAGAAGUCGAUAGUGCGUACAUAGUAAAGCUUUACUAUUCUUUUCAAGAUGAUGAGUUCUUGUAUCUCAUCAUGGAGUACCUUCCUGGUGGUGACAUGAUGACUUUGCUCAUGCGCAAGGACACUCUGACAGAAGAUGAAGCCAAAUUUUACAUCGCUGAAACUGUACUAGCAAUAGAGUCCAUUCACAAGCACAAUUACAUUCACAGGGAUAUCAAGCCAGAUAAUUUAUUGUUAGAUCUCAGUGGUCACUUGAAGCUUUCUGACUUUGGAUUGUGCAAACCUUUGGAUAGCAGUAAUUUUCCAAAUUUGAACGAACCGGACUAUACACCUGGAAAAGGUGCUAAACCUUUACCCGAUAACACCAGUCGAUUAACUAACUCUUCUGCACCGAAGCGUACGCAGCAGGAGCAGCUGUCACAUUGGCAAAAGAACCGUCGGAUGUUGGCGUAUUCUACAGUUGGUACUCCUGAUUACAUUGCUCCAGAGGUUCUAUUGAAGAAAGGAUAUGGAAUGGAGUGUGACUGGUGGUCCCUUGGUGCUAUCAUGUAUGAAAUGCUAGUUGGUUAUCCCCCAUUUUAUUCGGAGGAUCCAAUGUCAACCUGCAGAAAGAUUGUGAACUGGAGAAGUCACCUGAAAUUUCCUGAAGAAGCAAAGCUUUCUUCUGAAACUAAGGAUCUCAUUAGCAAACUUCUCUGUAAUGUUGAGCAGAGACUUGGAACAAAAGGAGCCCAUGAAAUAAAAGCACAUACAUGGUUUAGAGGUGUCCAAUGGGAAAAGUUGUAUCAGAUGAAAGCUGCUUUCAUACCAGAAGUUAAUGGCGAGUUGGAUACUCAGAACUUUGAGAAAUUUGAGGAGACUGGAGCACAAGUUCAGAGUUCAUCUAAGGCGGGUCCAUGGAGAAAGAUGCUUCCAUCCAAGGAUGCAAAUUUUGUUGGAUACACCUACAAGAACUUUGAAAUUGUGAAUGACGAUGAAGUUGCCGGGAUUGCCGAGCUGAAGAAAAAGAGUUCCAAAUCAAAACGGCCAACCAUCAAGACAUUGUUUGAGAGCAUGGAUGAAGAUGAACCUGUGCACGGCAGUUUCUUAAAUAUGUUGCCCCAUAAGGAGGGACAACCUUCUUCUCACUCAAGCGCCCCACCAGAACAAUACCAACCUCGACGUAAAUAGGAUAUGGAGGUUUUAAAAAGUAAACCACAGAAAAGUAAAAGAGAGGAAAAAAAAACUGUUGCCUUUUGGUCUUGGUGUUACCCCGUCCAGCUUUUGUAAAUCCUAACCGAUGCUUUCUUUUUAGUGAAUUCGUUAAAACAAAAUCCACCCCCUGUCUCCAAAAUAGUAUGGUGUUUGAUGUUAGCAGUGAUGCCUGUUUGGUUCGCCGUAUGUUGGUUUGACAGUCUCGGCGAUGGGUCCCCGGCUAUUACUGGCUACAGCAUAAGUGUAUACUUGUUACCAGCUCUGACGAGCAUGUGUAUUACAAUUUAAUUCACCUCUGCUUUUCUGAACCUUUCGAAGAGAUUUUUAUAGCUUACAGUAAAACUGACUGAUAUGGUUAUCAAGAACUUGACAGGCAAUGAUGAUUUGUGGGUUACGUUCGUUCUGGUUUUGCCUUACCGAACCCUAUUGCAAUCAUGUUGCUCGGUUUGCUUUGACGCUUCUAUGUGCGCUAAGAGUUCUGAAACUUGUAAUUUCUUGCACUGGCUCAGUUGCAGAAUCAUUUGAAAGUGGUGAAGUUCAUGCAAAUGCUUGGAACAAGUGAGGGGAUUUGUUGCCCGUGUGUGGAGAGUAACAUGUUGAGUACCGCUCACCACUUGCAUUUCUUCGUCAAAAGCGAAAGGAGAAAUGGUACAUCAGGGGGGCAGGGACCAAUAUUCUCACUUGAAGCCAGCAUUUGCGCGUCAAAAGACAACAAUGAGCAAUCUUCCGAGCUAACCAGAGCUGAAGAUGGAAGCAUGGGUUUUCACAUCGUUUUGCCAGCUUCAGUGUGUGAUACAAGUCACACGGCAAUAAUACAGUGCAAGGAAUGUUUUUUUCUUUUUUCGAGGGUACGCCAAAGGCGUACCAUAGCUUUAUAGAAGAGGAAAAAAAUAUGUAUAAGAGAAGUUUAGUUGCUAGUCACAAGGUCACAAGUGGACCGUGACGCAGCCUCCACUCUACUCCCAUAUACACUACGU